rnacentral:rRNA from 1 species
UGGGGAAUAUUGCACAAUGGAGGGAACUCUGAUGCAGCGACGCCGCGUGAGUGAUGAAGGACUUCGUUUCGUAAAACUCUGUUCUAUGGGAAGAAAAGGACUGUACCAUAGGAGAAAGCUCCGGCUAAAUACGUGCCAGCAGCCGCGGUAAUACGUAUGGAGCGAGCGUUGUCCGGAAUUAUUGGGCGUAAAGGGUGCGCAGGCGGCUUUACAAGUUGGAUGUGAAAUAUUGUGGCUCAACCACAAACGUGCAUCCAAAACUGCAAAGCUUGGGUUAAGGAGAGGUAAGUGGAAUUCCUGGUGUAGCGGUGGAAUGCGUAGAUAUCAGGAGGAAUACCGGUGGCGAAGGCGACUUACUGGACUUAAACUGACGCUCAGGCACGAAAGCGUGGGGAGCAAACAGG